rnacentral:misc_RNA from 1 species
UAUUCGAGCGUCAUUAUGACCAAUCCAGCCUGGCUGGGUGUUGGGCUUCGCGUUCCCCGCGGGCCCCAAAACUAGUGGCGGUGCUCUCAGGCUCUACGCGUAGUAACUUUCUCGCUAUAGAGUCCUGGGCGAUGCUUGCCAGCAACCCUCAAUUUUUACAGGUUGACCUCGGAUUAGGUAGGGAUACCCGCUGAACUUAA